AUGUACAAAUCCAUAUUUUUAAGGGAUUGCUAUAGACCAGGCAGUGUAAAAUCAUUGACUUUCAGGUCCUGUCGUUCAGACCUCGAAACAGUGGGCAGCAGCCUUCACGUGGACGAGGCAGGGAGGAGGAGUGAAGAAAUACCGGAGAUCCCAGUUUUUCUCAAUGGUGACAGCACAGAACUGCAGGCGGGAUCAUCACACCAACAAGGGCGAAGUCAGGUCCCAGUAUUUUCGCUGCUAUAAGAAUCCUUCCUGUUGCCGUUCUGUAGCCACCGCCCCUUAAUUUAUGGCUCCCGGUAAUCGAGCCUUCGAGGUCGCCGCUUCCCAGUGUAACUCUCUGGAGGUUCAUCUAGUUACUGCAUUUGCCAAGGACGAGUUCCCUUUUAGUGCUGAAUAAUACAGCAAAAGUCCCUGACUUAGGGACACUCCAGUUGUGAGCUUUCACAGAAAGGAGGGGACCUCACGUUUGUUUUUUUAAUGCUUUAUGUUUGUGUCAGAGGUGUAUUAAGACUCACUUUGGUGGACUUAUGAACAAAUUGAACUUAUGAACAUUCUCCUGGGACGGAGCUCAUUCCUAAAUUGAGGACUUACGGCAUUGCACAGGGUAAAGUGCUGCACUUUUUUAGACACGCACGGGAGGCCGUCUGCAUUGUUUUCAGAUUGUUUGUUCAGUUUGUUAAGAACGAAUAAAGCUGCUAUAAACAUCUAGC
rnacentral:lncRNA from 1 species